GCGAGGAUGGCGGAACUGGUAGACGCGCUAGACUUAGGAUCUAGUGGCUUUGCCGUGCGGGUUCAAGUCCCGCUCCUCGCACCA
rnacentral:tRNA from 1 species